AAUGCCUGCCUAGAUGUGUAGCUGUGCUGGUUGUAAUAGUGUUUUUUGUUUUGUUUGGAAUAGCAGAAUCACUUUUCAACAAAGCUGUUUUGUUAGAGUCUUUUUUUUCUGCUAUGGGUCAAGGGUGGAAGCGGGUCCACUUAUUGGUUUUCUUGAUUUUCUUGAAACAUGCUGUUGGACUUGAAGGUUGGAUUUCUCAGAAUGUUCAGCCUCAGAAUUGGUCUGUCCACAAGCUCUUCUCCCCUAGGGAAGUCCAGUCUUCUGUGUUGGAGGCUCCAGUGACUGGAAGCAUUCCUGUUGAAGAAGUGGCCUUGAAUAUGUUUGCUGGGAAGAACCCAAAUGCCAGCAGGCCUCCAUUUUCCCUUUCACGUCAGUAUGUAAAAGGAGGCUUUUCCAGCAGCUAUGGAUCUAUGUCUCCUACCCAAAGUGCACCAACUGUCUUGGACAGCAUUUCAUCCCUGCUACAACUCCAGGGUUCCUCCAGUCCAAAUGCCCAGAAUGUAUUUACCCAGUCUACUAGUGGACAAGGUUCCUAUAGCCAGUCUUCUCCGUAUGGCUCUGGACUGCAAAGAGUUUCUGCUGAACUCUCUUCCUCACCAGUACGAGGUGGUAGUUCCAGUGGCUUGUCCAUCCUGUCAAAGCUUGGUCUCCCACCUCUUGGUGUUUCUGACCCACCCACCGGUGAUCAAAGCUCCUCAAACAUGUCUACAAGUGCUCGGCGCAGCUCUGGCCUUCAGUUGGGAGGAACCUCUAGUCUGCUUUCUGCAAAGAGUAGCUCUUCCACAGGGUCCUCAAGCAGUUCCCGCCGUUUCUUUACUUCUACUUAUCAGGGCAGCUCUGGGUCACAACUGGCAGGAGGUUCCAGCCAGCUUAUUUCUGCAAGUGGUUUGUUCACCCAGUCUCCAAGUACUGAAAGUCAGGAUACCCCUGGAUCCUCCUAUGCGACGCUUGCUGCCUCACCCCUAGUUUUUAGCCAGUCUACCACUGAUCAGAGCUCUUACAGCCAGUAUACACCAAGCUCAGAGAGCAGCGUUGGCACUCAGCUGGCAGCUUCCCAUCAUCCUGUACCUGGACAGGGAAGUCGGUAUGGUUCAUCUGUCGAGCCUCAAUAUGCCACUAGCCAGCAUGCUCCAACUUUUUCCUUGGGUGCAAAACUGCCUGUGUCCAGUCAGUACUAUCAAGGAACUCUGAGUGGUUCUCGAUCUCAAAGCAAACUAUCUCCGGAACCUUCAGCCUCAAGGACCCAAGGAUUUCAGGCAGUGUCACAAAGAUUUGGUACGUCACAGAGCAGUUCUUGGUCUCCAAGUAGGUUCUCUUCACUGUCUUCUGCAGGAGGUUCUAUCAGCUCUACUGAUGGCUCUUCUGUACAGUCUCAACAUGCCUCCAGCCAGAAUGCCCUGGCUUCUUUGGAUGCAAAAGUGCCUUUGUACAGUCAAGCUGCUCCAAGUAGUUCAUCUCUGUCUCUGAGCUCUCCAUCUCAAUGGCAGCCUUCCUCUAGGUGGUUGCAGAGAUUUCGGGCAUCUGAUACAGUGGCAUCAGAGAGUAGCUCUCCAUCUCAAGGCUCCAAGGCUCCCAGUAGGUUGUCUACCUCAGCAGUAAGUCCUGGCCAAUUUGCUUCCAAACAGGAAGGAAGUGGCAGGUUUAGUGGCUUGUCCAUGCAGUCUCAAAGUACCUCAAGUCAGUAUAGUCCUGGGUCCUCUGCAUAUGCCAAGCCACUAAACCUGCUACUUCCUUUCUGUUUGGAAGCAAAUUGGCCAGGACUUAUUGCUGAGGUAGAUAACCUACUGGGAGCCUUGGAGCCUUGAGAUGGAGAGCUAUGCUCUGAUGCCACUGUACCAGAUGCCUGCAAUCUUUGCAACCACCUAGAGGAAGGCUGCCAUUGAGAUGGAGAGCUCAGAGACAGAGAUGAACUACUUGGAGCAGCUUGACUGUACAAAGGCACUUUUGAAUCCAAAGAAGCCAGGGCAUUCUGGCUGGAGGCAUGUUGAGACCGUACAGAAGAGCCAUCAGUAGAGCUGAUAGAACCUCCUGCAGAAGACAGUGAAGAGAACCUACUUGGAGACCAAGAACUGCUCUGUGACGUACCAGAUCCUUGUGACACUGCCUGAAAUGCUUGGGUCCUUGAGGCUGAAGGCUCCCGAGAUGGAGAAUCACUCCAAGUUGCUUGAUAGUACUGACUGGACACUGGCAGUUUUGCACCCAAGGAAAAAGUUGGAGCAUGCUGGCUAGUGGUAUCUUGAGGCUCGACAGAUGAACCAUAACGACUACCCUGUCCAGGUACAGGACGGGAAGCUGCCAGCUGAGUGCCAAAGCUGCUCUCUGAGCUUGGUGUAUACUGGCUGUAAGAGCUCUGAUCAGUGGUAGACUGGCUAAAAUCUAGGGGUGAGGCAGCAAGCUUGGCAUAUGAGGACCCAGGGGUAUCCUGACUUUCAGUACUUGGAGACUGGGUGAACAAACCACUUGCAGAAACAAGCUGGCUGGAACCUCCUGCCAGUUGUGAACCAGAGCUGCCCUGAUACGUAGAAGUAAAGAAUCGGCGGGAACUGCUUGAGGACCCUGUGGAAGAGCUAUUCUUUGCAGAAAACAGACUAGAGGUUCCUCCCAACUGAAGGCCAGAGCUGCCCAGAGCGCUUGUAGACAUGUUUGAGGAGCUUUGAUCACCGGUGGGUGGGUCAGAAACAUCAAGAGAUGGGAGACCAAGCUUUGACAGGAUGGACAAGCCACUGGAACUACCACCUCGUACUGGUGUGGAAGAGAGUUCAGCAGAAACUCUUUGCAGUCCAGAGCCAUACUGAGAAGACUGGCUAUAGGAAUCUUGUCCACGAGUAGACUGGUUAAAUACAUUCUGGGCAUUUGGACUGGAGGAACCCUGGAGUUGUAGCAGUGAUGAAAUGCUGUCCAAGACAGUUGGUGCACUUUGGGUAGGAGACAUAGAUCCAUAGCUGCUGGAAAAGCCUCCUUUUACAUACUGACGUGAAAUGGAAAAUGGAGGCCUGCUGGCAUUUGGGUUCUUCCCAGCAAACAUAUUAGAGGCCACUUCUUCAACAGGAAUGCUUCCAGUCACUGGAGCCUCCAACACAGAAGACUGGACUUCCCUAGGGGAGAAGAGCUUGUGGACAGACCAAUUCUGAGGCUGAACAUUCUGAGAAGUCCAACCUAGAGAACAUAAGCACAAUGAAUAAGAAGAGUAUUGACAUCUUUAUAUAAACUACAACUGUUUGUUACCGUAAUUUAAUAUAAAUCUAAUUUGAUCAUCGUGACACUCACCUUCAUGUCCAACAGCAUGUUUCAAGAAAAUCAAGAAAACCAAUAAGUGGACCCUAGGAAGAUAGAUGAUAACAAAUGUGUUUAAUACAUGUAACUGAGAACACUGUAAAAUAAAACUUAAAUUUAACUAACCGCUUCCACCCCUGACCCAUAGCAGAAAAAAGACACUAACAAAACAGCUUUGUUGAAAAGUGAUUAUGCUAUUCCAAACAAAAAAAAAAAACUACUACAACCAGA
rnacentral:lncRNA from 1 species